CCCCGUGAACCUUUACUAUAGCUUGACACUGAACAUUGAGCCUUGAUGUGUAGGAUAGGUGGGAGGCUUUGAAGUGUGGACGCCAGUCUGCAUGGAGCCGGCCUUGAAAUACCACCCUUUAAUGUUUGAUGUUCUAACGUGGACCCGUAAUCCGGGUUGCGGACAGUGUCUGGUGGGUAGUUUGACUGGGGCGGUCUCCUCCUAAAGAGUAACGGAGGAGCACGAAGGUUGGCUAAUCCUGGUCGGACAUCAGGAGGUUAGUGCAAUGGCAUAAGCCAGCUUGACUGCGAGCGUGACGGCGCGAGCAGGUGCGAAAGCAGGUCAUAGUGAUCCGGUGGUUCUGAAUGGAAGGGCCAUCGCUCAACGGAUAAAAGGUACUCCGGGGAUAACAGGCUGAUACCGCCCAAGAGUUCAUAUCGACGGCGGUGUUUGGCACCUCGAUGUCGGCUCAUCACAUCCUGGGGCUGAAGUAGGUCCCAAGGGUAUGGCUGUUCGCCAUUUAAAGUGGUACGCGAGCUGGGUUUAGAACGUCGUGAGACAGUUCGGUCCCUAUCUGCCGUGGGCGCUGGAGAACUGAGGGGGGCUGCUCCUAGUACGAGAGGACCGGAGUGGACGCAUCACUGGUGUUCGGGUUGUCAUGCCAAUGGCACUGCCCGGUAGCUAAAUGCGGAAGAGAUAAGUGCUGAAAGCAUCUAAGCACGAAACUUGCCCCGAGAUGAGUUCUCCCUGAGACUUAGAGUCUCCUGAAGGAACGUUGAAGACGACGACGUUGAUAGGCCGGGUGUGUAAGCGCAGCGAUGCGUUGAGCUAACCGGUACUAAUGAACCGUGAGGCUUAACCUUACAACGCCGAAG
rnacentral:rRNA from 1 species